GCGGGAGUGGCGGAACUGGCAGACGCGCUAGACUUAGGAUCUAGUGGGCUUAAGCCCGUGGGGGUUCAAGUCCCUUCUCCCGCACCA
rnacentral:tRNA from 1 species